CAGCAGCCGCGGUAAUACGUAGGGUGCAAGCGUUAAUCGGAAUUACUGGGCGUAAAGCGUGCGCAGGCGGUGUUGUAAGACUGAUGUGAAAUCCCCGGGCUCAACCUGGGAACUGCAUUGGUGACUGCAGCGCUGGAGUGCGGCAGAGGGGGAUGGAAUUCCGCGUGUAGCAGUGAAAUGCGUAGAUAUGCGGAGGAACACCGAUGGCGAAGGCAAUCCCCUGGCCUGCACUGACGCUCAUGCACGAAAGCGUGGGGAGCAAACAGGAUUAGAUACCCCUGUAGUCCCUGUCUCUUAUACA
rnacentral:rRNA from 1 species